rnacentral:misc_RNA from 1 species
AAAACUAGCAGACACGGAAACACGGGUUUAUCGAAUGUGUGGAUAAUCAGAUGUCCAGUGGACUCCACCACAGCCUUCUCCUUUCCCUGUCCUGCACGCUCCUCCUCUAAAUUUCUCUCCGUCUCUCUCUCCCCUCUGCAACACAAAAACAAAAGCUUCAUAGUCUAUAUGCACAUCCAAAUUAAAUAGGACACGUACGUAUACACCGAUGAUACCAACAUUGGUGUGGUGAGGAGGAGACUUACAGGCAAUAAUUGGAACCAUACCUAUCACACUAUUCCAUUGAUCGGACUGCAAACCAGGGACAGAAUGAGCGUGAAAGUACCUUCAACGCGGACGCGCGUAGGGAAGUACGAAUUAGGAAGGACCUUAGGUGAAGGCACUUUCGCUAAGGUCAAGUUCGCCAAGAAUGUCGAGACAGGCGAUGGCGUCGCAAUUAAAAUCCUUGACCGGGAGCAAAUCCUUCGUCUCAAGAUGGUCGAACAGUUAAAAAGAGAAAUAUCAACAAUGAAGCUGAUCAAACAUCCAAAUGUCAUCAAAAUCUAUGAGGUGCAAACGUAAAACAUUCAGAUAUGCAGCUUGUUGGAGAAAGCGAAAGAUUUAUUGUAAAUUGAAUAUUUUAUGUGAUAUUGACAAAAAUGUGAAAUGGUUUUCCUGCAAUUCUUUUUUAAGAUUUUACAGCUAUUUUUUAUGCAUGUUGUGAGUCUUGAGUGACAAAUUUGACACCUAUAUUUUCAAUUCAUUUAUAUGACUGCUUGUCAUCUAUUUUUAGGUAAUGGCCAGCAAAUCAAAGAUCUACAUUGUUCUUGAGUUUGUUGAUGGAGGAGAGCUCUUUGACAAAAUUGCAAGUCGCGGGAGACUUAAAGAGGAUGAGGCAAGGAGAUAUUUCCAGCAGCUCAUCAAUGCUGUGGAUUACUGUCACAGUAGAGGAGUGUCGCAUAGAGAUUUGAAGCCUGAGAACCUUCUUCUUGAUUCACUUGGCGUUCUUAAAGUUUCAGAUUUUGGAUUGAGUGCAGUCUUGUCGAAACAAGUACAGGGAGAUGGGCUGCUUCACACUGCUUGCGGAACUCCAAAUUAUGUUGCCCCGGAGGUUCUCAAAGACAAAGGCUAUGAUGGUACAGGCUCUGAUGUUUGGUCUUGUGGGGUCAUUUUGUUUGUACUUAUGGCUGGAUACUUACCUUUUGACGAGCCAAACCUUAUGGGUUUGUAUAGAAAAAUUUGCAGUGCUGAUUUUGCAUUUCCAUCGUGGUUCUCUUCUGGUGCAAGGAAACUGAUAAAGCGCAUUCUUGAUCCAAACCCUGUUACACGGAUAACCAUUCCUGAAAUAUUAGAAGACGAAUGGUUCAAGAAAGGAUACAAGCCUCCACAAUUUGAGAGGGAAGAUGAUGUAAAUCUUGAUGAUGUUGAUGCUGCUUUUAAUGACUCAAAGGAACAUCUAGUAACAGAAAGGAAAGAGAAGCCUGUGUCAAUGAAUGCUUUUGAGCUUAUUUCUAAAACCCAGGGAUUUAGCCUCGAUAAUUUGUUUGAGAAGCAGGCGGGUUUUGUGAAGCGAGAAACCCGUUUUGCUUCCCAUAGCCCUGCAAAUGAAAUUAUGUCUAAAAUUGAGGAAGCUGCAAAGCCUCUG